UACGUAGGGUGCAAGCGUUGUCCGGAAUUAUUGGGCGUAAAGAGCUCGUAGGCGGUUUGUCGCGUCUGCUGUGAAAACUCGGGGCUUAACUCCGGGCCUGCAGUGGGUACGGGCAGACUAGGGUGCGGUAGGGGAGACUGGAAUUCCUGGUGUAGCGGUGAAAUGCGCAGAUAUCAGGAGGAACACCGGUGGCGAAGGCGGGUCUCUGGGCCGUAACUGACGCUGAGGAGCGAAAGCGUGGGGAGCGAGCAGG
rnacentral:rRNA from 1 species